ACUUGACGAACUUGUUCAUUCGCUGGAAGGAGUCAACUGCCAGUGAUCGAAGGGUUACCAUUGGUUCAAUCGCAACCUCAACCACCUUCAAUUUUAGACAGUAUGGGUAGGCGCAAACAACUACAUAUCACUUCUACGGACAACAGUAAAAUGCAAGAUUAUCCAUCAAAUUCUCAUGAUGCACAAGGUAAUGUGUACAUGGAAGCUAGACCAGCGAGGAUUCAGGAGAACAAAAAAAGACUACGAGAAUUAGGAGUUAAAAACGUUGUGGACUCUAUGACAAGUUUAGUAGACAGUAAC